GUAUGACUAAUUUGAGUACUUAUUCAAGAAAACCGUGGAUUUUUUCUUAAUUCGUAAUCGUUCAAUAAGAAUUGUAGAUAAUCAAAAUCUUGCUUAUUGAUUCGGAAAUUUAGAUGAAACUUAUUCACAAUACUCAAUUUCAUCACCACACUGAAGGAAGAUAAAUACCAUCUAGUAUUCUUCAUCUUUUCUUGAUUUAGCAACACUCGCUCACUCACAAAGACGUACAUUGAAAGAUAAUAUUACAAAGCACAAUAUGUUCUGUCUCGCGAAGGACGGCAUCUGUCUGUUUCUUACAACUGCGGUUGCUACAGCUCCAACACCAAAUCUGCAAUGCAAAUGACUUGACGAAUUCUCUAGCAGCGAUAGAGCUUUCAGGAUGGAUCGUUCUAUGGAACAUGCGUAAGACCUGCAUGCCAGACAAAAGGACACAAUAAAUUGUAUAUGAAGUAAUAGGUUCUUUUUUAUCCUCAAUAUAAGACAACACCAGAUAGUUUGGGAGAAAUUAUUAAAAGAAGGAUAGUUCUCUAAUGAAGACAUCUAAUGGAAACACUACUAUUGGGUUUAGAUAAACAAGGUUCUGUAGCGGGAUGCUAGGUUCCAGGGGUCAGUAAACUGGAAACAACACCUUACUUUUGAGUGUAUAGAUCAUAUUGUAAGACCUGGAGAUGCUAACAAAGACAAUUUUCACUCUA